UGCUGGAGUGGACAUCAAUGC
rnacentral:miRNA from 1 species